AUUGAACGCUGGCGGCAAGCCUAACACAUGCAAGUCGAACGAGUGGCGGACGGUGAGUAAUGUCUGGGAAACUGCCUGAUGGGGGGGGAUAACUACUGGAAAACGUAGCUAAUACCGCAUACCAUCGGAUGUGCCCAGGUGGGAUUAGCUUGUGGGGGGGGUAAAGGCUCACCUAGGCGCCGCUCCUUAGCUGGUCUGAGAGGAUGACCAGCCACACUGGAACUGAGACACGGUCCAGACUCCUACGGGAGGCAGCAGUGGGGAAUAUUGCACAAUGGGCGCAAGCCUGAUGCAGCCAUGCCGCGUGUAUGAAGAAGGCCUUCGGGUUGUAAAGUACUUUCAGCGGGGAGGCGUUACCCGCAGAAGAAGCACCGGCUAACUCCGUGCCAGCCGCCGCGGUAAUUC
rnacentral:rRNA from 1 species